rnacentral:rRNA from 1 species
GACGAACGCUGGCGGCGUGCUUAACACAUGCAAGUCGAACGGGCCCGCUCUCUUUUUUGGGGGUGGGUUGAGUGGCGAACGGGUGAGUAUCACGUGAGUAACCUGCCCCCUGCUCCUGGAUAACUGCUUGAAAGGGCGGCUAAUACGGGGUAUGCCGGCUGGUCCGCAUGGGCCUGGUCGGGAUAGUUUCAUCUUCGGGUGUUUCGGUGGGGGAUGGGCUCGCGGCCUAUCAGCUUGUUGGUGGGGUGAUGGCCCACCAAGGCGGUGACGGGUAGCCGGCCUGAGAGGGUGGGCGGCCACACUGGGACUGAGACACGGCCCAGACUCCUGCGGGAGGCAGCAGUGGGGGGUAUUGCACAAUGGGCGGAAGCCUGAUGCAGCGACGUCGCGUGAGGGAUGGAGGCCUUCGGGUUGUGAACCUCUUUCUCCGGUGGUGAAGGCCCUGUCCGUUGCGGCGGGGUUGACGGUAGCCGGGUAUGAAGCGCCGGCUAACUACGUG